CAUAAGCUAACAGGCGGCUAAGCAUGCACAUGCAUCAGAUAUGCAGUCACUACUAGAUGACGAUGCUUAAACACAAUGACAGCGGGAUGUAGGUCAGGAUGACGUAGGGCAGCAAGACGCAUGUCAUCAAAGAGAUUCACCUGAUGUAGCCAACUCCAAGUUAUGAUCUGGUAUGAUUAGCUUGAAGCAACUAAUUUGCAAAUGGUGUCUGCUUGACAUGGAUUAUCUGAAACAACACUCUUUCAACAAGCUUAAAUGGGCAGUACAAACAUUGAGAAGUUGAAGUUCAAGUUGUCUGAUGAGAGGAAGAAAAGGAAUUGGCUUAUCAUGAUUUUGUUGUUAUCAUGAGAAUUGUUUAUUGCAUAUUUAAUUACUUAGUAUUUACGGGGAAACUUAUGGAUUUUACUUGUAAUGUCAUGUACUUGAAAUAAUGUUAUAUGUUACUCUUGUUUUCUGUUUUGAUUGUUUUUUUAACAACUAUGUAAGGUUGAAGAUUAAUAUCAUAUUGUGUGUGGG
rnacentral:lncRNA from 1 species